rnacentral:rRNA from 1 species
UAGGGAAUCUUCGGCAAUGGGGGGAACCCUGACCGAGCAACGCCGCGUGAGUGAAGAAGGUUUUCGGAUCGUAAAGCUCUGUUGUUAAGGAAGAACGAGUGUGAGAAUGGAAAGUUCAUACUGUGACGGUAUCUAACCAGAAAGCCACGGCUAACUACGUGCCAGCAGCCGCGGUAAUACGUAGGUGGCAAGCGUUGUCCGGAUUUAUUGGGCGUAAAGCGAGCGCAGGCGGUCAAUUAAGUCUGAUGUGAAAGCCCCCGGCUCAACCGGGGAGGGUCAUUGGAAACUGGUUGACUUGAGUGCAGAAGAGGAGAGUGGAAUUCCAUGUGUAGCGGUGAAAUGCGUAGAUAUAUGGAGGAACACCAGUGGCGAAGGCGACACUCUGGUCUGUAACUGACGCGGAGGCUCGAAAGCGUGGGUAGCAAACAGG